rnacentral:rRNA from 1 species
CAGCAGCCGCGGUAAUACAGAGGGUGCGAGCGUUAAUCGGAUUUACUGGGCGUAAAGCGUGCGUAGGCGGCUUUUUAAGUCGGAUGUGAAAUCCCUGAGCUUAACUUAGGAAUUGCAUUCGAUACUGGGAAGCUAGAGUAUGGGAGAGGAUGGUAGAAUUCCAGGUGUAGCGGUGAAAUGCGUAGAGAUCUGGAGGAAUACAGAUGGCGAAGGCAGCCAUCUGGCCUAACACUGACGCUGAGGUACGAAAGCAUGGGGAGCAAACAGGAUUAGAUACCCCUGUAGUCCCUGUCUCUUAUAC